UUGUCCUUUGGCAGCAGGCGGAAGCGCUUUGGGACAAACAUUAAGUUUGCCAGCAGGCUAGAUGUGAAGAGCACGAGGUUUGCCGCUGGAACAAAUGGGACGAGGUGGAGAGUCACUUUUAAAAGUUAUUCUGUGACUGAUGAGUUUUUUAUUGGACAGGCCGAAAAGCCACAGAGUCUCAACAUUUAGAUGAGACAUGUCAACAAUGUAAGUGGACAGAGACCUCUUGUGACUGAUGAGAAAACAAUAACAAGGACAAUGGGCUCCAUAGACUCCAGACCCAGACUGCGUAAAGUUGCCCCAUGUAAUAGUUUGCAAGAAAAUGGAGAUGAGUCCAAACCACAGUGGACCCUCCCUGCUCUCCCACUGACAACGGAGCAGCCAUCAGGACCUUUGGGACGGAGGAAGACGACUUUACCUCCACUGAAACAAGAAAUAACUCUUUCUUCCCUCUCAGAACCGCGCUCUGCAGGAACCUUCCCAUCAAAACAAAGCGACAAUUCAAGCAUCAUUCAUUCUCAUCCCCCCAGAAGACCCCAGGCACUGCAACCGCUGGCCCUUCAAAUUGGCCACACACGCACUGCCAAUCAAAUUGCCAUGGUAAUGAAAAAAAAAGAAAAAUAUCUCUCUGACUGUCCCAGUAUCACCCUCAUGCCAUCUCAGAAUCCAGUAAGGAAUUUUGAUGUUUGUUGUAGGGCAGGAACUGCAGAGAUGGGGAUGUCCACCAGUUUUUUACAACCGGCCAGACAGGCACCAGCAGAAUGAUUCAGGGAGGAUUUCUGGAGGCCCAGAUAUCUCUCACUCAACAGACUCAUCAGCAUCGUCA
ensembl:lncRNA